rnacentral:lncRNA from 1 species
UGCAACAACCCCUCCCGGAUUUGCAACAACCCCACCAGGAUUUCAGACCCCAUAUCCGUUGCUGACCCGAAUGCCGGAACUUCAUCCCAGUUUCAAGAGGGCAAUCAGUAUAGCACUCCGAGCGGUUCGAGGAGUAAGCAAGCCAAGAUUGUAGUGCUUGAUGAUUGAGCUGAUCAACAGAUUAUUAUAAGAAAAAAGUUUGGAACUUUGGAACUCAUUUCAUAGGAUCACCAUCUAUCUCACCAGCAGUCACCCCCUUUUAGUUUUUUGUCAUAGAGUCUGGUUCAUGUGUUGUUGUGUCUUGUCGUCGGUCUCCGUCUAAUGUUUGAAUUUCUAUUCUCA